AUUGAACGCUGGCGGCAUGCCUUACACAUGCAAGUCGAACGGCAGCACGGACUUCGGUCUGGUGGCGAGUGGCGAACGGGUGAGUAAUAUAUCGGAACAUACCUUGUAGUGGGGGAUAACUAUCCGAAAGGAUAGCUAAUACCGCAUACGCUCUAAGGAGGAAAGCGGGGGAUCGUAAGACCUCGUGCUAUAAGAGUGGCCGAUAUCUGAUUAGCUAGUUGGUGAGGUAAAGGCUCACCAAGGCGACGAUCAGUAGCUGGUCUGAGAGGACGACCAGCCAACCGGGAACUGAGACACGGUCCAGACUCCUACGGGAGGCAGCAGUGGGGAAUUUUGGACAAUGGGGGCAACCCUGAUCCAGCAAUGCCGCGUGAGUGAAGAAGGCCUUCGGGUUGUAAAGCUCUUUUGUCAGGGAAGAAACGGUUGUGGCUAAUAUCCAUGGCUAAUGACGGUACCUGAAGAAUAAGCACCGGCUAACUACGUGCCAGCAGCCGCCGUAA
rnacentral:rRNA from 1 species